GAUGAACGCUAGCUACAGGCUUAACACAUGCAAGUCGAGGGGUAACAAGAGAAAAGCUUGCUUUUCUUGUUGACGACCGGCGCACGGGUGAGUAACGCGUAUCCAACCUGCCUAUAACUAGGGAAUAACCUUGCGAAAGUAAGACUAAUACCCUAUGAUUUCCUUUGAUGGCAUCAGAUUAGGAAUAAAGAUUUAUCGGUUAUAGAUGGGGAUGCGUCUGAUUAGCUUGUUGGCGGGGUAACGGCCCACCAAGGCAACGAUCAGUAGGAGUUCUGAGAGGAAGGUCACCGACAUGGGAACUGAGACACGGUCCAAACUCCAACGGGAGGCAGCAGUGAGGAAUAUUGGUCAAUGAGCGGAAGCCUGAACCAGCCAAGUAGCGUGCAGGAUGACGGCCCUAUGGGUUGUAAACUGCUUUUAUACAGGAAUAAAGUUAGCCACGUGUGGUUAUUUGUAGGUACUGUAUGAAUAAGGACCGGCUAAUUCCGUGCCAGCAGCCGCCGUAA
rnacentral:rRNA from 1 species